rnacentral:rRNA from 1 species
UACGAGGGGGGCAAGCGUUGUUCGGAAUUAUUGGGCGUAAAGGGUGCGUAGGCGGUUUGGUAAGUCUGAUGUGAAAUCUAUGGGCUCAACUCAUAGUCUGCAUCGGAAACUGCCGGACUGAGUAUGGGAGAGGUGAGUGGAAUUCCUGGUGUAGCGGUGAAAUGCGUAGAUAUCAGGAGGAACACCUGUGGCGAAAGCGGCUCACUGGACCAUAACUGACGCUGAUGCACGAAAGCUAGGGGAGCAAACAGG